rnacentral:lncRNA from 1 species
UUUCUUAUAAAGGUCCACUUGCCAUGUGAUCCAUUAAUCCCCUGGGGAUUUACUCAAGGGAAAUUGAAACUUGUGCGCGCAUAAUAGUUCAUACAUAAUUGUAAAUAAUUGUGUAAAUAAUUCAAAAGCCCUACCCCCAACUGCGAACGCACAAAAGCUCUUUAAUGGGUAAAUAUAAGCUAAUUAUGUUGUCUAUACAAUCAAAAGCUACUUGAAAAAACACAAUUGUCCUUUGACAGAUGUAAUGCUUGGAAGUUUCUAGAGGUUUUUUUGCCGGCUGAGUCAUCUCGCCUGCCCCUUUUUUCUUCAGAAAAGAUCUUGCUUGGACAGCCCAAACUGGUCUUGAAUUCAUAAUCUUGCAUCAGCCUCCCAAGUGCCGGGAAUUCGGAGUGUGCUCCACUCCAUCCAAAGAGAUCAUCAUUUUUUACUUUGUUGGUAUUCUCUGCUUUUUAUUGUCUUUGUUUUUUGAACUCCUUAUCUCAAGAGCUACAAUUACAUUUUCCUUGUGAUUUCUCUCUCUUACUCAUGGGCUAUUUAGAAGAAGAGAGAUGUCAGCUGGGUGUAGUGG